AUUGAACGCUGGCGGCAGGCCUAACACAUGCAAGUCGAGCGAGCGGCGGACGGGUGAGUAAUGUCUGGGAAACUGCCUGAUGGAGGGGGAUAACUACUGUAAACGGUAGCUAAUACCGCAUACCAUCGGAUGUGCCCAGAUGUGAUUAGCUAGUAGGUGGGGUAACGGCUCACCUAGGCGACGAUCCCUAGCUGGGCUGCUAGGAUGACCAGCCACACUGGAACGGAGACACGGUCAAGACUCCGACGGGAGGCAGCAGUGGGGAAUAUUGGACAAUGGGGGGAAGCCUGAUGCAGCCAUGCCGCGUGUGUGAAGAAGGCGUUCGGGUUGUAAAGUACUUUCAGCGGGGAGGCGUUAACCGCAGAAGAAGCACAGGCUAACUCCGUGCCAGCAGCCGCGGUAAUAC
rnacentral:rRNA from 1 species